ensembl:lncRNA
UGCACAGGUGUUCAGUCGUGUCUGACUCCUUGUGACCCAUGGACUGUAGCCCACCAGGCUCCUCUGUCCAUGGGAUAUCCCAGGCAAGCAUGUCAAAUGGGUUGACAUUUCCUCCUCCAGGGGAUCUUCCCAACCCAGGGAUGAAACUCAUGGAUUGUGCGUCUUCUACAUUGGCAGGCAGAUUCUUCACCACUGUGCCACCUGGGAAGUCCUAUUUAUUUUUUAAGGCAUUUAAAUUGUAUAUAUAUGCUGUUGUUCAGUCGCUUAGUCAUAUCUCUUUUUUUAAUGUCUGACUCUUUGCGAUCCCGUGGACUGUAGCCUGCCAGGCUCUGUUGUCCAUGGGAUUUCCCAGGCAAGAAUACUGGAGCGGGUUGCCAUUUCCUUCUCCAGGGGAUCUUCCAACCCAGAGGUCCAGCCCAUGUCUCCUGCACUGGAAGCACAGUCUUGACCCCUGGGCUGCCGGGGAAGUCUUGUCCAUGCACUUUUAAACACUUGCUUCUCCCCUUAGGCUUCUCCUCCAAAGAAACGUCUCCCUCCUUCCGCUCCUUUUUCUCAAAAGUCUUCUGUCCGCGCCUCUCUGCACCCUUUCUUAGAAUCACCCGAAGGCCCUUCCUCUCCCACACCUCAGUCUCCUCACCUGUAGAAUGGAGCUGACCAGCCACCCCUUGUUAAACAGUGUGUACAUGAAGGUACUCUGCAAAGCAUCAGGUGUUCUGCAAACUGGACAGAAUUGCUGCAAGUGGACCUGACUUCAGUCAGCCGUUUGCUCUCUCACCCGCUCACUCCCCUUAUCUCUCGGGGAGGUCUACCAGGAUCCAAGUGGUUGCUCAGUGGUAAGGAAUUAUGCAGGUUUGAUUCCUGGAUUGCAAAGAUCCCUUGGAGAAGGAAAUGGGAUUUCCUGGAGUGUAUUCUUGCCUGGGAAAUACCAUGGACAGAGGAGCCUGGUGUGCUACAGCUCAUGGUGGUGCCGAGUUGGACACAACUUAACCACUAACAACCACCACCACACGCCCAACACAGGGGAUCCCCACCUCCAGCUUCAUUUUCAGCUAGGCCAUCAGGCCUUUCCCACCACACCCGAGGUGGAUCCUGGCUUGUCAGAGGCUUGUGGACGCCAGGAAGGGACCCAGGUGGGACUCCUACACCAGCCCAGCUUGGAUAGACCCUCUAAGCCCCACUGGAUCUCCAACUGUGGAGGUCCUGACUCUUCUCUUUUAUCAGAGGUUCUGUGUAAGGACUCCUUUUCCAAAUCUCAAAGGGGGGAAAAAAAAAAGGCAGGGCCCCCAGGGGUUGGAGUUGCAUACAUUUUUUAAUUGAAAGAAGUUAGCCUCCUAAGUAUUGCUUUUACAGGUUUAUCGAAGUCAAGUAUUCAUACCACUCACAUUUUCAAAAAAUAUUUCCGGCUGGAGGAGUGGCUGUCCCCACCCCUGGCACAAUGUAUCAGUUCUGGCAACUUGAUGGCAAGCAAACAACUUGAAAUGAAUGAGUCCAAACCCCACCCUCAGCCCCCCAGGUGUUCUUUUCCUUCUGAGUCUCUCUCGGAAGCAAGUCGCUGCAUCUAAGCCUGGACUCGGGACAGAUCCCAUCGGGCUUAGAGCUCCACUGGCAUCAAACAGAGCUGGGAGUCGCUUUCGUCUAUGACGUGUCCUCUCUCUCCGAAGGUUAAGUGGGGUAAGCAGAUGCAGCCGGGGGUGGAAAGCAGGGAGGCUGACUCUGGCUGGGUUCAUGUAAACAUCCACUGAGAUGGCGGAAGGUCGGGAGCCAGGGCGAGGCUGUGUGCACGACGCCGCAGGCAGGCGAGGUCUCCGGGCACCCCUGCCUCACCCUCUGGGCGGGGGCACGUGCCUCCCGGACCUUGGCGUCCAUUCUCAAUCUCUCUGUCCCACCGUCCUGGGCCCGGACUGGAACCUCUCUGUUGGCACGGAGCUUUCGAGGGGAGCAGGCCUGGCAAGAGGGACAAAGCGGUGUUACUAGCACAGAAGCACUGACCUGACCCCAUCCACCAAGAGGUUUGAACUUGGGGAACCACCAGGAACCUUGAGCUUAGGCUAGCGCUGCUGUCCUGUGAUUUUUUUUUUUCCUUUUCUGGACGUGGACCAUUUUUAAAGUCCUUGUUGAAUUUGUUACAAUAUUGCUUCUGUUUGAUGCUUUGGUUUUUUUGGCCAGGAGGUAUGUGGAGUCUUAGGGCUUCCCUGGUGGCUCAGAGGUAAAGAAUCUGCCUGCAGUGCAAGAGAUGCAGGAGAGGUGGGUUCGAUCCCUGGGUCAGGAAGAUCCCCUGGAGGAAGAAAUGGCGAUCCACUCCAGUACUCUUGCCUGGAAACCCUACGGACAGAGGAGCCUGGCAGGCUACAGACCAUGGGGUCGCAAAGAGUUGGACAGGACUUAGCACAAAAGGUUAGGAAACAGAGGUUCAGACCUCUGUUUGAAGUUGGGACCUGCCUGAAGUUGCUUAACUGUGGGAGGCGAGGCUGGCACUGGGAUAGUGAUGAAGAUGGAGACAGUUCGCCAUCAGAGCAGGAAGCAACUGCAGCCCAAGGUACCAUGCUGACCCAGGACGAAGCACAGGGAAUGGCUGGAGCCGAGUCUGGGGAAAGGUGUGAAGGACACGCCAGGUAGGGAGAGGACUGGUGACCAGGCCUCAGAACCUCCUGUAGUCUGGUUUGGGGUGGAAAGGGGUUGAAGGCUGGUCAUGAGUGCACGUGUGCUAAGUUAAGUCAGCCGUGUCUGACUCUUUGCGACCCUAUGGACCACAGCCCACUAGGCUCCUCUGUCCAUGGGAUUCUCCUGGCAAGAAUACUGGAGUUGGCUGCCAUGCCCUCCUCCAGGGGCUCUUCCUGACCCAGGGAUCAAACCUGCAUUUGCUGUGUCUCCUGCAAUGGCAGGUGGGUCCUUUACCACGAGUGCCAUCUGGGAAGCCCAGCCCUGGGAGAGACACGGAGAGGUUAGCAGGGGCCACAUCAGGUCAGUUUCUUGUGUCCUUGGCAGAUUCAUCUCCUAGGGCUCAGCUAGGAACACAUCCUUUCACUGCUCAAAAGACCGUCCCUGGCUCCUACUGAUGACCCAGGACCUGGCAGGCCAGAGGGGAAGCCGGCGCUGCAACCAGCGCAUCGGAGAGCUCCAUCCUCCAGAAAAGUGUUCACGAGUUCCCCUCCCAUCCCACCAGGAGCCCACCUUCUGCAGACCUCCCUCCCCCAUGGGGACUCUGGGGUUCCCUGUGGUGGUCAGCGUGGAGCUCCCCAGACCUCUGACAUCCAGGAAAGCAGACUGUUCAUUCCAAU